AACGGCCGUACCAUGCUGAAUAUACCGGUUCUCGUUAGAUCACCGAAGUCAAGCAUCAUUGGGCGCGGUCAGUACUUGGGUGGGUGACCACCUGGGAACACCGCGUGUCGUU